GGGGAAUAUUGCACAAUGGAGGGAACUCUGAUGCAGCGACGCCGCGUGAGUGAUGAAGGCUUUCGAGUCGUAAAACUCUGUCCUUGGGGACGAUAAUGACGGUACCCAAGGAGGAAGCCCCGGCUAACUACGUGCCAGCAGCCGCGGUAAUACGUAGGGGGCGAGCGUUGUCCGGAAUUAUUGGGCGUAAAGGGUUCGCAGGCGGCCGAUUAAGUCAGAUGUGAAAUCCCACGGCUUAACCGUGGUAAGCAUUUGAAACUGAUUGGCUUGAGUUAAGGAGAGGAAAGUGGAAUUCCUAGUGUAGCGGUGAAAUGCGUAGAUAUUAGGAGGAAUACCAGUGGCGAAGGCGACUUUCUGGACUUAUACUGACGCUGAGGAACGAAAGCGUGGGGAGCAAACA
rnacentral:rRNA from 1 species